UCCUGGUUAGCUCAGUUGGUAGCUGAGCGCUCCACUGGAAAUAAAGAGGUCUCUUGUUCGAUACCAGAGCCAGGCG
rnacentral:tRNA from 1 species